AUUGAACGCUGGCGGCAGGCCUAACACAUGCAAGUCGAACGAGUGGCGGACGGGUGAGUAAUGUCUGGGAAACUGCCUGAUGGAGGGGGAUAACUACUGGAAACGGUAGCUAAUACCGCAUACCAUCAGAUGUGCCCAGAUGGGAUUAGCUUGUUGGUGGGGUAACGGCUCACAAAGGCGACGCUCCCUAGCUGGUCUGAGAGGAUGAACGGCAAAACUGGAACUGAGAAACGGUCAAGACUCCUACGGGGGGCAGCAGUGGGGAAUAUUGGAAAAUGGGCGAAAGCCGGAUGCAGCCAGGCCGCGUGUAUGAAGAAGGCCUUCGGGUUGUAAAAUACGUUCAGCAGGGAGGCGUUACCCGCAGAAGAAGCACCGGCUAACUCCGUGCCAGCAGCCGCGGUAAUAC
rnacentral:rRNA from 1 species